GACGUAGGGCGCGAGCGUUGUCCGGAUUUAUUGGGCGUAAAGAGCUCGUUAGGCGGUUCGGUAAGUCGGGUGUGAAACCUCCAGGCUCAACCUGGAGACGCCACCCGAUACUGCUGUGACUAGAGUCCGGUAGGGGAGCGUGGAAUUCCUGGUGUAGCGGUGAAAUGCGCAGAUAUCAGGAGGAACACCAGCGGCGAAGGCGGCACUCUGGGCCGGAACUGACGCUGAGGAGCGAAAGCGUGGGGAGCAAACAGG
rnacentral:rRNA from 1 species